UACGGAGGGUGCAAGCGUUAUCCGGAAUCACUGGGUUUAAAGGGUACGUAGGCGGUUUUAUAAGUCAGGUGUGAAAUACCGCGGCCUAACUGCGGAACUGCACUUGAUACUGUAAAACUUGAGUAGGGUGGAGGUACACGGAAUGCAUCAUGUAGCGGUGAAAUGCUUAGAUAUGAUGUAGAACACCGAUAGCGAAGGCAGUGUGCCAUACCUUAACUGACGCUGAGGUACGAAAGCGUGGGGAGCGAACAGGAUUAGAUACCCUGGUAGUCCACGCCCUAAACGAUGCUAACUGGACGUUUGGUCGAAUGAGAAUGAGCGUCUGAGGGAAACCAUUAAGUUAGCCACCUGGGGAGUACGUUCGCAAGAAUGAA
rnacentral:rRNA from 1 species